rnacentral:other from 1 species
UUAACUCUGAAGUGUUAGCCAGUGUGUCCUAAUCCCCUGAGCCGAUAACAUCUGUAAUGGAUGCGGUCUGCCGACUCUUUGCGCAUGUCUACCUCGUGUAGGAAGCCUGUGAGCUGGCGUCGCCUCCGCCUUGAACUUUAGGGUUCAAGGGUACCGAUACACAGCGGCACUUUGGAGUACAA